GACGAACGCUGGCGGCGUGCUUAACACAUGCAAGUGGAGCGACGAACCAGGCUUCGGCCUGGGGCAAAGCCGCGAACGGGUGAGUAUCACGUGGGUAACGUACCCCGGUGACCGGGACAACCCGAGGAAACUCGGGCUAAUACCGGAUGUGCUGUCAGGCCUUAAGGCCAGACAACAAAGGAAGCUUCGGCCUCCGCACUGGGAGCGGCCCGCGGCCCAUUAGCUUGUUGGUGAGGUAAUGGCUCACCAAGGCUGCGAUGGGUAGCUGGUCUGAGAGGACGAUCAGCCACACUGGGAAGGGAGCACGGCCCAGACUCCUACGGGAGGCAGCAGUGGGGAAUCUUGCGCAAUGCGCGAAAGCGUGACGCAGCAACGCCGCGUGGGGGAAGAAGGCCUUCGGGUUGUAAACCCCUUUCAGGAGGGACGAAGGUUCAGGCGCGAAUAGCGUCCUGGACUGACGGUACCUCCAGAAGAAGCUCCGGCUAACUACGUGCCAGCCGCCGCCGUAAAAC
rnacentral:rRNA from 1 species